UACGAAGGGGGCUAGCGUUGUUCGGAAUUACUGGGCGUAAAGCGCACGUAGGCGGACUAUUAAGUCAGGGGUGAAAUCCCGAGGCUCAACCUCGGAACUGCCUUUGAUACUGAGCGCCUCGAGGUCGGGAGAGGUGAGUGGAAUUCCGAGUGUAGAGGUGAAAUUCGUAGAUAUUAGGAAGAACACCAGUGGCGAAGGCGGCUCACUGGCUCGAUUCUGACGCUGAGGUGCGAAAGCGUGGGGAGCAAACAGG
rnacentral:rRNA from 1 species